rnacentral:hammerhead_ribozyme from 1 species
AUCCAGUUGACGAGUGUCAAAUAGGACGAAACGCGAGUCCUGGAU